rnacentral:lncRNA from 1 species
AAAGCCAGUCUCUCAAAUUUUUAACCCUAAAAUUCUCCCGCCUCUCCAUUUUCAUCGCCAUUCUAAAUUAUUUUAUUAAUCCAAAUCAGCAUUCCCAAUCUUUGAAUUACAAUUGAAAGGAAUCAGGACUUCUAAUGUUUGAAAGGUAAAUCGUCAUCAUGCAGAGACUUAAAUUAGGGUUUCCAUUUUGUAAGAAUUUCUCUCUUGUUUUGUAUUCUUGUUUCUGCUUUUUGUCGUUAAAUUCGAUAUACGUAAGUCAUAGAAAGCAUCAUAUGUUAUUUAAUUUGCGAAUUCAUUGCAGUAGCGACAAAUUGAGAUACAUGGACACAGAUAACUACUUCAUCUUGCUUGCUUCAUUAGUUUGAGCCUAUAUUUAUUAUUCUUAUUCACCUUUUUCUUUUUUUCUCUUUCUAAUACAUGCGUCUGCAUCUUCUUUUUAGCAUAUGCUCGAGCUGAUGUAUAUUUGUCGUAUAACUGAGUCUUUUGCUUCAACGGAGCUUUAGAUUCUUCAGCAAGUGCCUGUUAGGAGAAAGAAAGGAAAGGAAAGAUAAAUCAGAAACUUUUGAAAACUAUUAAUCAUAGAAGGAGGUACUUAGUAAUAUAUUGUUGCAUUAAGAUAAGUUUACGAGGAAGGAAUGAGUGAAAUCAUGCCCUUUUCCACCAAAUAAAGGAAAAUAUUAUGUGCCUAAAUAAUUUUGAAUUGUUGAAUAUGGGUGAGUUUUCUCUCAAAUUGGCAGAUUACCUUUACUCCCCAAGCCAAAAUUCUACCCGAAUCCCCAGCCAAUUGCUGCCUACUUACAAAUUAGUUUCUUUGGGGAGUUAAGCUCCCAAACCGACCAACAUACACUCAUUGAUGCACUAGGGUUUUUUUUUUCUAAAUUUUUUAUUGAAGCAUGGAUGCUGCCAAAAGGUUAUGCUAGCUAGAUCCAAGCAGUUUCACGAGGAAAGGCUGGAGAUAAAUGAUGGGUUACAGAGGAAUGUAAAGAUCUAUUAAAAAAAUGGUGUUGCAUCGGAUAGUCAUCCUCAUCAAAGCAACAAGCACUGGCUACUUUACUAUUGUUUAUAACAUUGGGAGGUCUGUGCUCCAAAGUGUAUGACCAAGUACAUGUGAUCUAAAAUAAGUAGGAUUAGAUUUCAUGUGGGCUUUCUUUCAGAAAGUUGAGUAGAGUAUAGACACUCUUCAUAUAAAAAAAUGAAAAGAAUAAAAUAUUGGGGAAGGCAGUUAGGCGAUCGUGGUUGAUUGUAUCUAACCCAAAAUGGAAGGGGAGCUUGGUUCCACAACUUCACAAGAAAUGUGGAUAAGUAACAAGCCCUCCAUUUUCUUACUAAAUGCUGGAGAUGAGGAAUGAGGAGUUAUAUAGCAUGCAGUGGAUAUUUGGAUUUGAAAUUUGGAUGUCUUUCGAAUAAGUUUGUAAAGAUUUUUAUUUGCUUAUAAAUUGGAUUUACAUGCAUUUCCCCAUACUUGAGAAAUGAGAACUUGACUCAAAGGACAUGCUCAUCCAUGUGAAAGAGUGGUAAGUAUGAUGGGAUGGCAAUAGUAUGGGGGAUCACAAUGAGCAGAAACUUUGGAUAUUAUUUCCGUAAUCAUGAUUCAUUGCGCUAUUGACUCCCUUACCCUGCCAUGGACCUUUUAACUUGUAGAUCACAUUGUGGCUGUCUUAUUUGGCUCCAGGGAAAAAGGGCCACAUUUUUAUUGAACAGUUAUGAUUUUUUCUCAGAUAGAGAUUUAGACUGUGGAUAAAAAUAUAUAGUGGUAAGGCAAGAACUAAGCUGAAUUUUAAAGGGGUUAUUUUGUUCAAAGUAAUGAGAGAAAAGUUACCAGUAUCUUACCUUUGUUCAUCAACACUUCCUCCGCUGCUACUCCCAGUUGACCUGUAAAUGGGUAGAGGGACUUGGCCGUUUUCUAUAUGCAUGACAUCCUGUUCCAGGAUCUCAUAGUGUCUCUUUACUUCCUCAGCAGAUUUCCCACCCACAGCCUUGGCUAUAUUUGCCCAGCGGUCAGGAGUGUUCUUGUCGUACAGAGCCAGGGCUUCUUCAAAUAGUUUGUUUUGCUUCUGUGUCCAAGAGGAGCUUGAAUAACAUGAAGAGGAGAAAGCAUGGGAUGCCAUUACUAUAUUGAUGGGGGAAUGAAAUAAGAACUAUAGAAGCUGGAAUAAUAAGGUCAUAGAAGAGUUGGGUGAAUAUGAAGAAAAAGUAGAUGAAGGUGAGAAGGCGACAGUAUACUGAGUAUUGAAGUUGGAGAUGUAAGAGGAAAAGAACUCACAGAAGGGAAACAAAGAAAAGGAAUAACUGCCUCAGUCAAGGAAAAAGACCCUAGUCAAGAGAUGGUGUGGCAAAGAGAUUGCCAUGCUUGCUCUUUAUAAGGGAGGAGAAAGUGGUAGAGUUGAUUGAGCAAGUUGGUGAAUAUUUUUUUAACAGUACAGCAAAAUGCGAUUCUCCAUCUUAGAAAUCUCAAAAUGAAGCAAGGCUAGGAAGGACAAGAUGAGGAGGAGAAUAUGUGUCAAAGCCCGAAAAGACCAGCACUUUAUAUAUAUAUAUUUGAAAGUCCUUUUCUUGUCUUUUACAAUCUCAUCAGCAAGUGGAUUUCCUAGAGAAUUUACCAGCUAGUGGGGAUUAGAUCCCAAAUCCCAAUUCCUAGCCUAGCCAUUAAACGAUGUGCUAACAAAAUGAAUCCCUGCCCCAGCUUUUCAAACCGACAAAAAAUACAAUAAAAUAUUCUUCCAUCUUUUGUUGGGAAUGGGAUUUUCUGUGUUUGCUUAUCACAUCAACUUGGUAGGAUGAUAUUCAAAUUGAAGAAAAAUCCAAGCUGCUCUAUUUUGAUCAUUAUCUUCUGCCACUAUUGAGGAGGGAAGGUUGGUUGGGUUGAUGAUCCGCUUCCUCUUCCUUGUUCUACCUUCUAUGUCCUCUGCAUGUUACAGUCAAACACCUAAAGUCUGUUGCUAUAUUCCCCCAUGAAAGUAGUGGUUGUGUGGUUUCUUUCCAUCAGGAAGAAAGACUCCUAAUUUUAUUUUAUAAGUUCUUCUAGUUUUCUGAGGUUUAUAUGGAAAUGAUAUUUGAGACAUAGAAAUGUUGUUUUAUCAUCCUCUGGGCAACAUUCCAUGGGCUUCUUGCCAGUUAGUUAGCUGAGACCAGCAGUAGUGAUAUUUUAUUUUGUAGCUCAAUCAGCCGAAGGUGAACAGGUGUCUCUUUUAGGAGAUCUAAUUUCAGGUCUUGGGCUAGUCAAGCAGCUAGGUUUUCUCACAACUUGAUGUUAUUCCCUGCAAAUCACAUCAGCAGUGCUUGGGGAAAGUAUUCCCCCUCCAUGAAGACUUUUAUUUCCAUUUCCAGUAAUGAUUUUUCAAGUUGAUAUCACCAUAUCUACAGGAAAAAAUUCCUUCCUGCUUUACUGUGUGUUUUGAAUCGCUAAACUUGCCCUUGGUUAAUUUAUUGAUAUAUUUAUUUAUUUAUUUUUGGGGUAAAAGAUUCAAGGAAUUGGGUUGGGCAGGGUUCAUUAUGAUCUUGUUCUUAUGCAUGCAAGACUACCGGUAGAAAUUAAGGGUCUGUUUGGUUAUUGUUCUAGAAAAUAAUUUUUUAGAAUAGUUUUUAAGAAUAACUUUAUUUUCAGAAAAAAAAAAAAUUGUACUUGGAAACUGAAUUUUGAAAAAUGAUUUUUAUUCUGAAAAAUAAAGAAAAUAUGUUUGAUUGAGUUAAUAAAAAAAACUUUUUAGAAUAAGUAAAACAAAAAACAUGUUUGAAAGUUUUUUUUGUUUUUAAUUAAUAAAGUAUUUUCUUCGAUUAACUCGAUAUUAUAAAUAUAUAAAUAAUUUUUAUAUGUAUAAUUAAUUUAAAUUAAAAAAAUUGUUCCAUUUUGAAAAUUGUACACUAGUUAUAAUUUUCUUAAAUAAAUGAUGACUUUGUAAUUAUGUGUAAUUAUAUUAAUUUUAGUAAUUUUCUUAAAAAACUAAUUGCCUUAAACUUUUUGGGGAUCCAACAAUCCCUCUUUGACUUGUGUAGGGCAAUAUGUGAGAGAGUGGAAACUUUUUGGGGAGCCAUUUUUUUUUAUUAGUUAUAGAUACUGCAUGUCAUCGACAAAUAAAUUAAGGAAGAAGAAAGACCUUAGGGGUGAGGGUGUGAUAGUUGGAUGGAGCUCACUUUCGUUUCCUAUUGGAGACCAUUGGAGGAGAAACCAACAAAGAUAGGAAAACACAAAAAGCAGUUAGGAAACACAAAAAGAAGAAAAAGAAAAUACGAAGAACAAUCUGUUCUUUAAACAAUGAAAAAACAAUAAAAAUAUCUUUUUAUUGUUCUAAAGAAAGUGGUCUUUUGAGAACACGGAAAACACAGAAAACAAAAAGUAUCGCCUUCCCCAAACAUAUUUUUAGUGUUUUUUGUUUUCAAGAACAAAAAAUAAUUAUUGAAAUAACAACCAAACAAGCCUUAAAUUUUUUGUAUUUCAGUACUUAGGUUUUCUGUUUCAAUUGUUUAGAGAGGGGAGGAGAAACCAACAAAGAUAGGGAAACACAAAAAGAAGAAAAAGAAAACAUGAAGAACAAUCUGUUCUUUAAACAUUGAAAAACAAUAAAAAUAUCUUUUUAUUGUUUUAAAAAAAGUAGUCUUUUGAGAACACGGAAAACACAGAAAACAAAAAGUACUGUCUUCCCCAAACAUAUUUUUAGUGUUUUUUGUUUUUAAGAACAAAAAAUAAUUAUUGAAAUAGCAACCAAAUAGGGUCUAAAUUUUUUGUAUUUCAGUACUUAGGUUUUCUGUUUCAAUUGUUUAGAGAGGGCUUAAAUUCUAUAUUGCGAUUUCACCCAGCUAUUUUGUGGUUGACUAUAUUUUUCCUCAUGCUGGAGCUUGUACCCAUGACAAAGUUCUACUAUUUGAAGAUAUUACAGUCAUGAUAUUGAAGCUCCUACAGUUGACUCACAACUCUGCUCUUUUUAACUUGAUUUUCACUAAUUUGGGUGGACAGACUACAUGGUACUAAACUUAAUUUAUAUUUCCAAAUAACUCAAUAAAAUUGUGCAUUUAACUCAUUGAGUUAAGAAUCAUCAGAACUAAAAUAAACUUAUACAAACUAUUUACAGUUGUUCUUAUAAAAGUCAGGGGGAGAUGGAGACAGCAAGGAGAUUCCUUUGGUAGAGAACCUGGUGACUGGUGGAUUAUUUGCGUGGUUCUUCCUAGAAUAUCCUAUUACAGCUUUUUACCCUUUUGUAAAGCUAAAUGCAGUACUGAAUUGGUGUCCUUAGCUGUGGUCCUGCGUAGCUAUUCAUGGUUUGAGAGUGUCUGGGCUCUGUGACAUGAUUUAGGGUGGACUUUGUGGGGUGAUGUGGGGGACCAUAUGGCCAAAUUGAGCCCAUUACAGCAUCAAUUCUAAGAGCCUCCGUGGAGGGACAUUCAAAGCUUUUCUUUCUUAGAAUGAGUUCACUUCACUUGUUUGCAGGUGGGCCCAAAUAUUUGUUUUAGAAUUUUAGUUUUUGAAGUUGCAAAAUAACUCUACUGUCAUGAACCAGCCCAAAUGAAUCGUUUUGGGUGCAGGGUACGGUUAUUUAUUCUGUAAACUUUUUUGUAUAAAUCAAUGGCUAUGGCUUUUGUUGUGAAAAAUCACGGCAAAGAACAAUAAUAGGGAGAAGAAAAUAAGAGAAAAUACACAAAGCACAUAAUGAUUUAUGCUAUUCUGCCUAGAGACUACAUUCAUGGACAAGACGAAGAAGAGCUUCAACUAUUUUUCAAAGAGAUUACAAGUCUAGAGCUUACAAAUCCCAAAACCGCAAUUGCACCCAAAAAAGGGACACUUUUUCAAUUAGAAUUUCUAAUAUUUUACGUAGGAAACAAAUUGUAUGGUUGUUAGAGAUGGUUAUUCCUAAAAGAAUAUCAUAGGAUAUAUUCUUUAUUUUAAUAGGAAAGUCUCUUGCAUGAAUAGAUCUUAUUAGGAAAAUGUCAAUGACUCAAAAUAGGAAUUGUGAGACUUUUCAACAGGUUUUUGGCAAUUGAUGAAGGUGUGGUCAUUGGUAACAUGAUGCAAUGUAUAAUUUGGAUGCUGUUAAUGCACAUAUUUACCUGAUUAUUUAUUUAUUUAGUUUAGGUUUUUGGACCGGUGGAUUUUGUAUAACUUGUUUGGAAUUUAAAUGGUUACCUUGUAGUUUAGAUGGCGUUGGAAGAUUUAAGUUCAUCACUAUACAUGGGAGCAUUAAAGAAUAGAAGAAAUUACAGUUAUAGGAUAUGACUGAUAUAGCAAUUACAUUUAUGGGAUAUGACUAAUAUUUGGAUUCCAUUGCAGGUGCUUUUUCAAAUUUUUACAGUCAUGAUAGCUAGAAUAUCAUGAUUGAAGCAAUUCCAUCUUCAAUGGGCCACUAUGCCCUCCUUUAGGAGAUUGGUUCAUUUUCUUUGCUAUUUCUUGUGAUCUAUACCACUGUUUCGUGUCAUUCAUGAUGUGUGUGAAAUGAAAGCUUUCCUUUUCCCACAGGUUUCGCUCUAGCUCGAACCAGCCUGACGGGUUACCAAAAGAGAAUAAAGAAAUUGCUUAUGUCAUUGUUAUGGAUCUAUUUAAUCAAGUUGGUUGGCUCUACCUUGGCUUCAGAUAACCGCCCACCUGCUGAAGGAGGGCCUGUCUCGUAGAUGAUGUUGAGGUAAAUGCACUGAGAAUCUGCAAAAAAAUAUAUCUUUGCUUUGAUGUUUAGAAUCCUUAUCAUAUCAAAGUCUAUCGCAUGGAAUGUCACAUUUACACGGGUUCCUUAUUUUCGUGUAGAAACCGUGUUUCUUUUGAUGUGUGGUCCUUUCUGAUGAUUGGAACUAUUAGUUGACCCUAGUUAUUUGAGGGUUAGAUGUUUUAAAAUGACCAUCAACAAAUUUCCAAGCUUAUAAUUAACAUUAAAUUCUCUGGUUUAAAGGAUAAAUAGUCAGGAAACUUCCGGCUUUGGGUAGCUAAGAGACUACCCUUUCAUGGUCCAAUCAUCUGCUAGCUAAACAUGAGGACCUCGCUAAGAUGGAAUCUUUCAAAAGGGGAAAAAACAAGUGGAAACAUUUUCAAAAGUUGAAUCUACUUGAAGAAAAGAGUACCAAAGGGGUAUUUUUUUGGUGGUGGAUGGUCCAAAAG